rnacentral:misc_RNA from 1 species
ACCAUUGGCAAUGAGCGGUU